GAUGAACGCUAGCUACAGGCUUAACACAUGCAAGUCGAGGGAGCGGCGCACGGGUGAGUAACACGGAUACAACCUGCACUUUACUCGGGGAUAGCCUUUCGCAAUAACUAUUAAUACCUGACAUAAAGGAUGCGGAUGCGUUCCAUUAGGUUGUUGGUGAGGUAACGGCCAACCAAGCCUUCGCUGGAUAGGGGUUCGGAGAGGAAGGACCCCCAGAUGGGAACUAAGACACGGUCCAAACUCCGAGGGGAGGCAGGAGUGAGGAGUAUUGGGGAAUGGACGGUAGCGUGAACCAGCCAAGUAGAUGAAAGGAGGAAGGCUUAGUGGUCGUAAACUUCUUUUAUAUAAGGAGAUGUAUUAGAUGAAUAAGGAUCGGCUAACUCCGUGCCAGCCGCCGCGGUAAUAC
rnacentral:rRNA from 1 species